CAAACAGUUUAGGUGGGUGUGUUUUGCGAUGUGGUUGUUGAUCUUUCCAGUUGGUCAGGAAAUCUCCAACCAGAGGACCUGAAGCCUGAGGCUAUGAUGAUGAACUGUAUCACUGCUGGUCAGCUCAUGAUGUCUUCUGAGAUGUUUCGUUGGAAUCAAUCCAACCAAAGGCAGCAAGAGGUAAAGACAAGGAAGAGGGAGACAAGAAGAUCUCUGUCUGUCCUCACGUCUCUUCUCUCCUCAAGAGAUUCAUGGACUUUCACUUUGAGUGCAGGUCAAAGGAGAGGAGGCUCUGAAGGAACAGGAAGUUUACUGAAGAGGAUCUGACAUGGAUCCUGUAAAGCCUCGAUCCACCUCCAUCAACUAAACACAGAAUAAUAAUUAUUCUUUUGCACCAAAUCACUUCCUAUGGGACUUAAUUUUUAUUUUCGAUGAAUAACAUAACAAUACAAAAUAGUCUACACAUAAGAGUAAACAAACAUGUAUGGCUGAACUGUACGUGUACAUGUAUGAUCCACAGAUGAGACAUCACUGUGAACAAGUCUCACGGUUAUUUUUAUAAUUCUUUCUCAUUGCCCAUUAAAAUAUCAAAUCUAAAAAUGAUCAUCAUUUUAACAUAGUCUAUUCAUUUAUUGAUUCUUGAAUGAAUUUGUAAAUAAAUGCAUUGAUGCAUGUGUUA